GCACACAGCUCGUGGCCCCCACGCCACCAUGGCUCAGCGUCCAGGAAAGCCACAAGGACCUGGGCCACGGCCGCUCGCCCUCGGAGAGGCCACGAGACCCAGGAUCAUUCGCCGAAGUGACCGGCCACUGGCUGGUGACCCGCCCUGAGGUGUGGACAUCGCAGGGAAGGCACCCAGGAGCCCACCAGGGCUGUGAUUUCAGCAAGGUGGUCCCGGGGGAGCCUAUGAGAAGGGGACUCCGGAGCGAAGACCCACAGUCCUGGGGCAUAACUACAUACGGGCCUCUCCUCCUCCACAUUAAUGAUUCCAUGGCUGCCAAGAGUCACUUUUCACAGACUUCCUCUCAGAGCUGACGUUUGGGACUCUCCAAAAGGCAGCUGAUCAGAGGAAGGCACUCCGUUCACUCACGAUAGUGACUUUCAGUGCGUCACAGAGGGACCCAUCUCGAGUUAUAUUCUUCACACAAAUACGGAUACUA